rnacentral:tRNA from 1 species
UAGCUCAGUGGUAGAGAACUUGCCUUGCAUGUAUGAGACCUUGGGUUCAAUUCCCAG